GUCAUUGUAGCGCAUGAACAACGUGUUGGACUUCUCAUUCAAAGGUCGUGGGAUCGAAUCCCACCUAGGAUG